rnacentral:lncRNA from 1 species
AUUCCUCUCCACAGCCCAUGCAUCUGUUAGGUGGCAGCUCCUCCUCUUGCUGCAGUUUCGUUGUCUCUGUUCACUAGCUCUGCUUGCUCCAAGACCCAGAAAUCAAUGACUGGCUACUUAAGAAAGUGUUCUUCCCAGCUUAGGUUAGGAAG